AGAGUUUGAUCAUGGCUCAGGAUGAACGCUAGCUACAGGCUUAACACAUGCAAGUCGAGGGGAAACGACAUCGAAAGCUUGCUUUUGAUGGGCGUCGACCGGCGCACGGGCGAGUAACGCGUAUCCAACCUGCCCAUCACUUGGGGAUAACCUUGCGAAAGUAAGACUAAUACCCAAUGACGUCUCUAGAAGACAUCUGAAAGAGAUUAAAGAUUUAUCGGUGAUGGAUGGGGAUGCGUCUGAUUAGCGUUGUUGGCGGGGUAACGGCCACCAAGGCGACGAUCAGUAGGGGUUCUGACGAGGAAGGUCCCCCACAUUGGAACUGAGACACGGUCCAAACUCCUACGGGAGGCA
rnacentral:rRNA from 1 species